rnacentral:rRNA from 1 species
GAUGAACGCUGACAGAAUGCUUAACACAUGCAAGUCAACUUGAACUUCGGUUUGGGUGGCGGACGGGUGAGUAACGCGUAAAGAACUUGCCUCACAGAUAGGGACAACAUUUGGAAACGAAUGCUAAUACCUGAUAUUAUGAUUUUAGGGCAUCCUAGGAUUAUGAAAGCUAUAUGCGCUGUGAGAGAGCUUUGCGUCCCAUUAGCUAGUUGGAGAGGUAACGGCUCACCAAGGCGAUGAUGGGUAGCCGGCCUGAGAGGGUGAUCGGCCACAAGGGGACUGAGACACGGCCCUUACUCCUACGGGAGGCAGCAGUGGGGAAUAUUGGACAAUGGACCAGGAGUCUGAUCCAGCAAUUCUGUGUGCACGAUGAAGUUUUUCGGAAUGUAAAGUGCUUUCAGUUGGGAAGAAAAAAAUGACGGUACCAACAGAAGAAGUGACGGCUAAAUACGUG